UGAUAAAUCUAAACCAAUGCUAAUGCACCAGAUCCCAUCAAAAAUAUGCAGUUAAGUGUGCUUGGGCUAGAGUAGUACUAGGAUGGGUGACCUCUCGUUUAUCUUCCCCUUUGGCAU
rnacentral:rRNA from 1 species